UACGUAGGGGGCAAGCGUUGUCCGGACUUAUUGGGCGUAAAGAGCGUGUAGGCGGCCAGGUAGGUCUGCUGUGAAAACUCGAGGCUUAACCUCGAGCUGUCGGCGGAAACCAUCUGGCUAGAGUCCGGAAGAGGAGAAUGGAAUUCCCGGUGUAGCGGUGAAAUGCGCAGAUAUCGGGAAGAACACCCGUGGCGAAGGCGGUUCUCUGGGACGGUACUGACGCUGAGACGCGAAAGCGUGGGGAGCGAACAGG
rnacentral:rRNA from 1 species